rnacentral:piRNA from 1 species
UAAACAGUGAUGGUUGUACAGGGUUGUGU